GAUCCCGUGGUCUAGCGGCAAAGACGCCUGGGCGACAGCCAGGAAGACGACGGUUCGAGUCCGUCCGGGAUCA
rnacentral:tRNA from 1 species